rnacentral:rRNA from 1 species
GACGAACGCUGGCGGCGUGCCUAAUACAUGCAAGUCGAACGCUUCUUUCCUCCCGAGUGCUUGCACUCAAUUGGAAAGAGGAGUGGCGGACGGGUGAGUAACACGUGGGUAACCUACCCAUCAGAGGGGGAUAACACUUGGAAACAGGUGCUAAUAUCGCAUAACAGUUUAUGCCGCAUGGCAUAAGAGUGAAAGGCGCUUUCGGGUGUCGCUGAUGGAUGGAUCCGCGGUGCAUUAGCUAGUUGGUGAGGUAACGGCUCACCAAGGCCACGAUGCAUAGCCGACCUGAGAGGGUGAUCGGCCACACUGGGACUGAGACACGGCCCAGACUCCUACGGGAGGCAGCAGUAGGGAAUCUUCGGCAAUGGACGAAAGUCUGACCGAGCAACGCCGCGUGAGUGAAGAAGGUUUUCGGAUCGUAAAACUCUGUUGUUAGAGAAGAACAAGGACGUUAGUAACUGAACGUCCCCUGACGGUAUCUAACCAGAAAGCCACGGCUAACUACGUG